AGCGAACGCUGGCGGCAGGCCUAACACAUGCAAGUCGAACGAACCUUUCGGGGUUAGUGGCGGACGGGUGAGUAACACGUGGGAACGUGCCUUUAGGUUCGGAAUAACUCAGGGAAACUUGUGCUAAUACCGAAUGUGCCCUUCGGGGGAAAGAUCUAUCGCCUUUAGAGCGGCCCGCGUCUGAUUAGCUAGUUGGUUGAGGUAAUGGCUCACCAAGGCGACGAUCAGUAGCUGGUCUGAGAGGAUGAUCAGCCACAUUGGGACUGAGUCACGGCCCAAACUCCUACGGGAGGCAGCAGUGGGGAAUCUUGCGCAAUGGGCGAAAGCCUGACGCAGCCAUGCCGCGUGAAUGAUGAAGGUCUUAGGAUUGUAAAAUUCUUUCACCGGGGACGAUAAUGACGGUACCCGGAGAAGAAGCCCCGGCUAACUUCGUG
rnacentral:rRNA from 1 species